CAUUGAAAUCCAAUUCCUAGCCCUGCACAGGACAGCCCCAAGAGUCAUAUCACAUGUCCAAGACUGCUGUCCAAAUGUUUCUUGAACUCUAUCAGUCCUGGUGCUGUGACCACUUCCCUGGGAAGCCUGUUCCAGUGCCCAGGCUGGAAGCCUGUCACAGGAGGACAUCUGACUGGGUUGACAUAUUUGGUUCAUAACAAAUCCCCACUGGCCAUUACUCAUCUCCUUACUCUGCUUAAGUAUCUGAAAACUGUUUGAUUGCUUUGCUCUUCAGCUGAUAUAUACAGAAUCAGAUUAUCGGGGUUCCCUCUGCAACAAAUAGCUGUUAACAAAGACAGCAGAUGGACUCAAUAGUAAUAAUUUUUGGUUAACACACAUAAAGGAGAGAUUGUGGCCUAGUCUGUGCUAUGGAAGAUCUUUGCAUCAGCAGCACUGCAUGAAAAGGAACGUUUAACGCUGGAAGCUAGAUACAAAGGAUAUGAAAGGAAAUUAUCUAAUUCACUAAACCAUGAUGAGGAACCCUCUGUGUCACUGAUAUUUUCAUCAGCUCCCUCUCACAUACAUAUUGCUCCAUUAAAUGUUCAAGCCACCAUCAUGCCACUCACAUUUUGUUAAAUUGAUUCAUGCUCAAGACCAUCUAUAAAUGUAAUUCUUCAACUAUUGAAAUGGUAAAAUACAAACUUUUUAUUAUACUGAGUAACUUUAUCUCAUUACAUAAAUGUGCAAGUAAAAAAAUCUGCUUUCCCAUUUCUAAUAAAAGUCUGAGAUAUCCAAUAGCAGUCAAGAAGACAGAAAUCAGAAUCAGUUACAAAUCUGUAACUGAACAUUACAGCCUGAAGUUUUACUAAUCAGAUAUUACAAGUUAAAUAAACUUUUCCCUUUGCUUUCAGUUGAUACUGUUUGUUUUCUUUGUAAUUAAUUUGAUUAAAAAUGUAACAAGAAAAUUUUGUUAUAGCUGAUAACAUUACAAAACUUGCUAUGCAUUAGUGAAGAGAUCCUGACAUGCACAAGGAAGAAAGUCUGUGCAUCAAUGGCAACGUGGUUUAUAGCAUAGAAUCUACUGGAAAAGGAAUUCAAGUUUUUUCAGUCUCUCUGUAUUUUGUCCUUUCUCUUGAGGUAAACUGUUAGUGAGACGAUUUUAAUUUCAGAGUCUUUAGUUGU